UCCCUGGUGGCUGAGAGGUUAAAGCGUCUGCCUGCAAUGCGGGAGACCCGGGUUCGUUCCCUGGAUUGGGAA
rfam:Ovis aries breed Texel chromosome 6, whole genome shotgun sequence.